rnacentral:rRNA from 1 species
AUAUUGGUCAAUGGACGCAAGUCUGAACCAGCCAUGCCGCGUGGAGGAUGAAGGUCCUCUGGAUUGUAAACUUCUUUUAUUUGGGAAGAAACCCAUGUUUUCUAAUAUGGUUGACGGUACCAGAUGAAUAAGCACCGGCUAACUCCGUGCCAGCAGCCGCGGUAAUACGGAGGGUGCAAGCGUUAUCCGGAUUCACUGGGUUUAAAGGGUGCGUAGGCGGGUUGAUAAGUCCGUGGUGAAAUCUCCGAGCUUAACUCGGAAACUGCCGUGGAUACUAUUAGUCUUGAAUAUCGUGGAGGUAAGCGGAAUAUGUCAUGUAGCGGUGAAAUGCUUAGAGAUGACAUGGAACACCAAUUGCGUAGGCAGCUUACUACACGAUCAUUGACGCUGAGGCACGAAAGCGUGGGGAGCAUACAGG